rnacentral:rRNA from 1 species
UGUGAGCUCGAUGAGUAGGGCGGGACACGUGGUAUCCUGUCUGAAUAUGGGGGGACCAUCCUCCAAGGCUAAAUACUCCUGACUGACCGAUAGUGAACCAGUACCGUGAGGGAAAGGCGAAAAGAACCCCGGCGAGGGGAGUGAAAAAGAACCUGAAACCGUGUACGUACAAGCAGUGGGAGCACGCUUAGGCGUGUGACUGCGUACCUUUUGUAUAAUGGGUCAGCGACUUAUAUUCUGUAGCAAGGUUAACCGAAUAGGGGAGCCGAAGGGAAACCGAGUCUUAACUGGGCGUUAAGUUGCAGGGUAUAGACCCGAAACCCGGUGAUCUAGCCAUGGGCAGGUUGAAGGUUGGGUAACACUAACUGGAGGACCGAACCGACUAAUGUUGAAAAAUUAGCGGAUGACUUGUGGCUGGGGGUGAAAGGCCAAUCAAACCGGGAGAUAGCUGGUUCUCCCCGAAAGCUAUUUAGGUAGCGCCUCGUGAAUUCAUCUCCGGGGGUAGAGCACUGUUUCGGCAAGGGGGUCAUCCCGACUUACCAACCCGAUGCAAACUGCGAAUACCGGAGAAUGUUAUCACGGGAGACACACGGCGGGUGCUAACGUCCGUCGUGAAGAGGGAAACAACCCAGACCGCCAGCUAAGGUCCCAAAGUCAUGGUUAAGUGGGAAACGAUGUGGGAAGGCCCAGACAGCCAGGAUGUUGGCUUAGAAGCAGCCAUCAUUUAAAGAAAGCGUAAUAGCUCACUGGUCGAGUCGGCCUGCGCGGAAGAUGUAACGGGGCUAAACCAUGCACCGAAGCUGCGGCAGCGACGCUGAUGCGUUGUUGGGUAGGGGAGCGUUCUGUAAGCCUGCGAAGGUGUGCUGUGAGGCAUGCUGGAGGUAUCAGAAGUGCGAAUGCUGACAUAAGUAACGAUAAAGCGGGUGAAAAGCCCGCUCGCCGGAAGACCAAGGGUUCCUGUCCAACGUUAAUCGGGGCAGGGUGAGUCGACCCCUAAGGCGAGGCCGAAAGGCGUAGUCGAUGGGAAACAGGUUAAUAUUCCUGUACUUGGUGUUACUGCGAAGGGGGGACGGAGAAGGCUAUGUUGGCCGGGCGACGGUUGUCCCGGUUUAAGCGUGUAGGCUGGUUUUCCAGGCAAAUCCGGAAAAUCAAGGCUGAGGCGUGAUGACGAGGCACUACGGUGCUGAAGCAACAAAUGCCCUGCUUCCAGGAAAAGCCUCUAAGCAUCAGGUAACAUCAAAUCGUACCCCAAACCGACACAGGUGGUCAGGUAGAGAAUACCAAGGCGCUUGAGAGAACUCGGGUGAAGGAACUAGGCAAAAUGGUGCCGUAACUUCGGGAGAAGGCACGCUGAUAUGUAGGUGAAGUCCCUCGCGGAUGGAGCUGAAAUCAGUCGAAGAUACCAGCUGGCUGCAACUGUUUAUUAAAAACACAGCACUGUGCAAACACGAAAGUGGACGUAUACGGUGUGACGCCUGCCCGGUGCCGGAAGGUUAAUUGAUGGGGUCAGCGCAAGCGAAGCUCUUGAUCGAAGCCCCGGUAAACGGCGGCCGUAACUAUAACGGUCCUAAGGUAGCGAAAUUCCUUGUCGGGUAAGUUCCGACCUGCACGAAUGGCGUAAUGAUGGCCAGGCUGUCUCCACCCGAGACUCAGUGAAAUUGAACUCGCUGUGAAGAUGCAGUGUACCCGCGGCAAGACGGAAAGACCCCGUGAACCUUUACUAUAGCUUGACACUGAACAUUGAGCCUUGAUGUGUAGGAUAGGUGGGAGGCUUUGAAGUGUGGACGCCAGUCUGCAUGGAGCCGACCUUGAAAUACCACCCUUUAAUGUUUGAUGUUCUAACGUGGACCCGUGAUCCGGGUUGCGGACAGUGUCUGGUGGGUAGUUUGACUGGGGCGGUCUCCUCCUAAAGAGUAACGGAGGAGCACGAAGGUUGGCUAAUCCUGGUCGGACAUCAGGAGGUUAGUGCAAUGGCAUAAGCCAGCUUGACUGCGAGCGUGACGGCGCGAGCAGGUGCGAAAGCAGGUCAUAGUGAUCCGGUGGUUCUGAAUGGAAGGGCCAUCGCUCAACGGAUAAAAGGUACUCCGGGGAUAACAGGCUGAUACCGCCCAAGAGUUCAUAUCGACGGCGGUGUUUGGCACCUCGAUGUCGGCUCAUCACAUCCUGGGGCUGAAGUAGGUCCCAAGGGUAUGGCUGUUCGCCAUUUAAAGUGGUACGCGAGCUGGGUUUAGAACGUCGUGAGACAGUUCGGUCCCUAUCUGCCGUGGGCGCUGGAGAACUGAGGGGGGCUGCUCCUAGUACGAGAGGACCGGAGUGGACGCAUCACUGGUGUUCGGGUUGUCAUGCCAAUGGCACUGCCCGGUAGCUAAAUGCGGAAGAGAUAAGUGCUGAAAGCAUCUAAGCACGAAACUUGCCCCGAGAUGAGUUCUCCCUGACUCCUUGA